GAUGAAGAACGUAGCGAAAUGCGAUACUUGGUGUGAAUUGCAGAAUCCCGUGAACCAUCGAGUCUUUGAACGCAAGUUGCGCCCGAAGCCAUUAGGCCGAGGGCACGCCUGCCUGGGUGUCACACGUCGUUGCCCCCCCAUCUACUCCUUCGGGAUUGCGGGGGGCGGAUGAUGGCCUCCCGUGCGCCUCGUCGCGCGGUUGGCAUAAAUGCCAAGUCCUCGGCGACGCACGCCACGACAAUCGGUGGUUGCGAAACCUCGGUUGCCCGUCGUGUGCGGUCGUCGCGCAUCGAGGGCUCGAAAAAAUUGCCGGGCUCCGGCUCGGCUUUCAACGCGACCCCAGGUCAGGCGGGAUUACCCGCUGAAUUUAAGCAUAUCAAUAAGCGGAGGA
rnacentral:misc_RNA from 1 species